CAGCAGCCGCGGUAAUACGUAGGGUGCAAGCGUUAAUCGGAAUUACUGGGCGUAAAGCGUGCGCAGGCGGUUAUAUAAGACAGAUGUGAAAUCCCCGGGCUCAACCUGGGAACUGCAUUUGUGACUGGCAGGCUAGAGUAUGGCAGAGGGGGGUGGAAUUCCGCGUGUAGCAGUGAAAUGCGUAGAUAUGCGGAGGAACACCGAUGGCGAAGGCAGCCCCCUGGGCCAAUACUGACGCUCAUGCACGAAAGCGUGGGGAGCAAACAGGAUUAGAUACCCCUGUAGUCCCUGUCUCUUAUAC
rnacentral:rRNA from 1 species